rnacentral:rRNA from 1 species
UACGGAGGGGGUUAGCGUUGUUCGGAAUUACUGGGCGUAAAGCGCGCGUAGGCGGAUCAGGAAGUUGGGGGUGAAAUCCCGGGGCUCAACCCCGGAAUGGCCUUCAAAACUCCUGGUCUUGAGUUCGAGAGAGGUGAGUGGAAUUCCGAGUGUAGAGGUGAAAUUCGUAGAUAUUCGGAGGAACACCAGUGGCGAAGGCGGCUCACUGGAUCGACACUGACGCUGAGGUGCGAAAGCGUGGGGAGCAAACAGG